rnacentral:pre_miRNA from 1 species
UCUUUUUGAUGAGCAAAGGGAGUGGCUUCUUGAGAUGGAGUCUACUCCUGGUGAAGAUGAUAUGAA